rnacentral:rRNA from 1 species
GGAUGACACUUUUCGGAGCGUAACUCCUUUUAUCAGGAAAGAAUAAUGACGGUACCUGAUGAAUAAGCACCGGCUAACUCGUGCCAGCAGCCGCGGUAAUACGGGGGGUGCAAGCGUUACUCGGAAUCACUGGGCGUAAAGGACGCGUAGGCGGAUUAUCAAGUCUUUUGUGAAAUCUAGUGGCUUAACCACUAAACUGCUUAGGAAACUGAUAGUCUAGAGUAGGGGAGAGGUAGAUGGAAUUCUUGGUGUAGGGGUAAAAUCCGUAGAGAUCAAGAAGAAUACCCAUUGCGAAAGCGAUCUGCUGGAACCUAACUGACGCUGAGGCGUGAAAAGCGUGGGUAGCAAACAGGAUUAGAUACCCUGGUAGUCCACGCCCUAAACGAUGUAUACUAGUUGUUGCUUUGCUAGUCAAGGCAGUAAUGCAGCUAACGCAUUAAGUAUACCGCCUGGGGAGUACGGUCGCAAGAUUAAAACUCAAAGGAACAGACGGGGACCCGCACAAGCGGUGGAGCAUGUGGUUUAAUUCGAAGAUACGCGAAGAACCUUACCUGGACUUGACAUCCUAAAAACAUCUAAGAGAUUAGAAAGUGCUAGUUUACUAGAAUUUAGUGACAGGUGCUGCACGGCUGUCGUCAGCUCGUGUCGUGAGAUGUUGGGUUAAGUCCCGCAACGAGCGCAACCCACGUGUUUAGUUGCUAACAGCUCGGCUGAGCACUCUAAACAGACUGCCUUCGUAAGGAGGAGGAAGGUGUGGACGACGUCAAGUCAUCAUGGCCCUUAUGUCCAGGGCGACACACGUGCUACGAAUG